rnacentral:ncRNA from 1 species
CUUAUUAAGAGUGAUGGAGGGACAGGCCCUAAGAAAUCCGGCAACCUAUUAAAUUAGGUGCUAAUUCCUGCGAUGUUAUAAUCGAAAAAUAAGG